rnacentral:lncRNA from 1 species
CAGAAACUCUGAGGGUGGAGUCCAGCCACAUGCGUGCGGGUGAACAUACAGCCUAACUUGGGAGCACCAUCGCUAUGCCGUCUCUGUUGUUUUUGCCAUCAUUACCACCAGUAUCAACCAUCAUCACCACCACAAUCACCAC